GGGUUUAGGUUAAACAAACCAGGGGCCUUCAAAGCCCCAAACAGG
rnacentral:tRNA from 1 species